GAUGAACGCUGGCGGCGUGCCUAAUACAUGCAAGUCGAGCGAACGGACGAGAAGCUUGCUUCUCUGAUGUUAGCGGCGGACGGGUGAGUAACACGUGGAUAACCUACCUAUAAGACUGGGAUAACUUCGGGAAACCGUAGCUAAUACCGGAUAAUAUUUUGAACCGCAUGGUUCAAAAGUGAAAGACGGUCUUGCUGUCACUUAUAGAUGGUUCCGCGCUGCAUUAGCGAGUUGGUAAGGUAACGGCUUACCAAGGCAACGAUGCAUGUCCGACCUGAGAGGGUGAUCGGCCACAUGGGAACUGAGACACGGUCCAUACUCCUACGGUAGGCAGCAGUAGGGAACCUUCCGCAAUGGGCGAAAGCCUGACGGAGCAACGCCGCGCGAGUGAUGAAGGUCUUCGGUUCGUAAAACUCUGUUAUUAGGUAAGAACAUAUGUGUAAGUAACUGUGCACAUCUUGACGGUACCUAAUCAGAAAGCCACGGCUAACUACGUG
rnacentral:rRNA from 1 species